UAUUAGUCCUUUUGCAGACCCAGACGUUUGCCAGGCAAUUUCCCUCUGUCUCUGUUUAUUUAGGGAAGAAAAGGAAUGGAAGAAAGAAAUGGAAAGUGGUAAGAAUUUAGGGUUACAAAAACAAGGCCAGGGGUAGAGACGCCAAAGAGCCUGUGCUGGACGAGCUUCUGCUGACAGUGCUGUUGUCAGAAUGUACAGGGACAGCAGAGAAAAUCAGCAUGAGAACAGGAGUGUUGUACAAAAUGCCUUUGCAGAAGAAUAGCCUCGGAUUAAUUCAAACAUAGAGAAUGAAGCUACGAAUCUCCUGCAGCUGGAAUGAUUCACUUGUUUUUCUUGUUAUCACUUACCUGGCCCAUAUCUAGGUGUUCCAUGGAGAUUUCUGUGAGUCGGGCCUUUGUAUCGAUUUACUCAUUGAUCAGCUACAAUGGUGCAGUGAUCGUAAAAUUUGAUAUCACUGUAGAAUUUACUGCUUUUGGAAGACUGUUAAAGCUACACGAAGAGGUACAAUAUCACAUCAUCUACCAUUAAUGAAGCAAUUACUGGGACAACCUUUCACUGGUGUAAGAGUCCAGCACUUGCUGCUUGGCAAACCACCUCUGACGGAUACACAGGCUCGAGAAGCCUUUUACCUUUCCCAUGUGGUUUGCAAGGAGAAGACCGUGUGUGGAUGUACCCGGAGAGAAGAGAAAUCAAGCCUCUAUUGUAUGAUGGUGAUCCUGACUGCUAUAAGUAAAAGUUGUGCUCCAGUUUUGAAAUUGUGUCAUGUAAAAAUGAAACAUUGGGUAUGCACACCAUGCCAAAAGAUUCUCAGGCCUUUUUUUCAGUUUAAAGAAAAUAUUUAUGCAGUUUAAAUUAUUCCUGGAAAUUCUGGGUAUCAUAGCAUUUUACACAAAUGAAUUUUAUACCAAAUGUGCAGAUAAAUCUCAGAAUAAGCAAUCAUGUACUUUUCAUGGUCUGGUUUUACUCUUUCUGGAUUCCAAUUUUGUAUGCUAUUAAGCAAAUGGGUACACGAAACUGAUAAAAGCGAAAAUUUAAUUCUCAUUUUGUGUCUCCAACAAAAAGACUGUUUCCAUGUCAGAUAAAAUAAAUAUCAGGAAAGGAUGAAGUGCACAUCCCAAGUCUGAAAUCUAUGUCUCUCUUUUGCUUUUCUAAUAAAAGAUAAUAUCAGUGUGAAAA